UCGAGCGAGGUCCAAUUGGUAGCAAUACCAAGGAAGACCUAGCGGCGAACGGGUGAGUAUCACGUGAGAAACCUGCCCCGAAGACCGGGAUAACCCGGGGAAACCCGAGCUAAUACCGGAUGCCCUCCUUUGAUCGCAUGGUCGAUGGAGGAAAUGGUUUACUCCGCUUCGGGAGGGUCUCGCGGCCUAUCAGCUAGUUGGUGAGGUAACGGCUCACCAAGGCAUUGACGGGUAGCUGGUCUGAGAGGACGAUCAGCCACACUGGGACUGAGACACGGCCCAGACUCCUACGGGAGGCAGCAGUGGGGAAUCUUGCGCAAUGGGCGAAAGCCUGACGCAGCAACGCCGCGUGGGGGACGAAGGCUCUCGGGUUGUAAACCCCUUUCAGCAGGGACGAAAAUGACGGUACCUGCAGAAGAAGCCCCGGCCAACUACGUGCCAGCAGCCGCGGUAACACGUAGGGGGCAAGCGUUG
rnacentral:rRNA from 1 species